rnacentral:rRNA from 1 species
UACGGGGGGGGCAAGCGUUGUUCGGAAUUACUGGGCGUAAAGGGCGCGUAGGCGGCCCGCACAAGUCUGCGGUGAAAACCCCCGGCUUAACCGGGGGCCGGCCGUGGAAACUGUCGGGCUAGAGGCCGGGAGAGGGCAGCGGAAUUCCCGGUGUAGCGGUGAAAUGCGUAGAGAUCGGGAGGAACACCGGCGGCGAAGGCGGCUGCCUGGACCGGCCCUGACGCUGAGGCGCGAAAGCUAGGGGAGCAAACAGG